AUUGAACGCUGGCGGCAGGCCUAACACAUGCAAGUCGAGCGGCAGCGGGAAAGUAGCUUGCUACUUUUGCCGGCGAGCGGCGGACGGGUGAGUAAUGCCUGGGAAAUUGCCCAGUCGAGGGGGAUAACAGUUGGAAACGACUGCUAAUACCGCAUACGCCCUACGGGGGAAAGGAGGGGACCUUCGGGCCUUUCGCGAUUGGAUGAACCCAGGUGGGAUUAGCUAGUAGGUGAGGUAAAGGCUCACCUAGGCUUCGAUCAGUAGCUGGUCUGAGAGGACGACCAGCCACACUGGAACUGAGACACGGUCCAGACUCCUACGGGAGGCAGCAGUGGGGAAUUUUGGACAAUGGGCGCAAGCCUGAUCCAGCCAUUCCGCGUGAGUGAAGAAGGCCUCGGUGUAAG
rnacentral:rRNA from 1 species